rnacentral:rRNA from 1 species
AAGCCAUUAGCCUAACAAGUAUUAAAGGUAAUGCCUGCCCAGUGAGGAUCAAACCUUAAACGGCCGCGAUAACCCGUGCAAAGGUAGCGCAAUCACUUGUCUUCUAAAUAAAGACCUGUAUGAAUGGCAACAUGAGAGAGAACCUGUCUCUUGAAGACAGUCGGUGAAACUGAUCUACCUGUACAAAAGCAGGUAUGCCAGAACAAGACAAAAAGACCCUGUGAAACUUUAAAUUCCCAUCAAACAUAUGAUGUUGAUUUUAAGUUGGGGCAACUAAAGAGAAACAAAACCUCUAGACUACCACCAGAUCAACUAAUCUAUUGGGCAAACCAUAACGACCCAGUACUACUGAUCAAUGGACCAAGCUACUCCAGGGAUAACAGCGCCACAUUCUUGAAGAGUUCUUAUCAACAAGAAUACCUACGACCUCGAUGUUGGAUCAGGAUAUCCAAGUGGUGUAGAAGCUACUAACGGUUCGUUUGUUCAACGAUUAAAAUCCUACGU